ACUCAAAGGAAUUGACGGGGCCCGCACAAGCGGUGGAGUAUGUGGUUUAAUUCGAUGCAACGCGAAGAACCUUACCUGGGCUUGACAUCCCGAUCGCACCUUUUGGAAACUUAAGGGUCAGUUCGGCUGGAUCGGUGACAGGUGCUGCAUGGCUGUCGUCAGCUCGUGUCGUGAGAUGUUGGGUUAAGUCCCGCAACGAGCGCAACCCUCGUCCUUAGUUGCCAGCAUUAAGUUGGGCACUCUAAGGAGACUGCCGGUGUUAAACCGGAGGAAGGCGGGGAUGACGUCAAGUCCUCAUGGCCCUUAUGUCCAGGGCUACACACGUGCUACAAUGGCCGGUACAAAGGGUAGCAAGACCGCGAGGUGGAGCCAACCCCAAAAAGCCGGUCUCAGUUCGGAUUGGAGUCUGCAACUCGACUCCAUGAAGUUGGAAUCGCUAGUAAUCGUGGAUCAGCAUGCCACGGUGAAUACGUUCCCGGGCCUU
rnacentral:rRNA from 1 species